UUACGAUAUUAAUUAAUUAUUGUGUUAGAAAACUUGUUAUUCGCAAAGAAGAUUUGAAAAUAACUGACGACGUAAUUACUGCGGCGUGGAUCUAAAACGUAAUUGGAAUCAAUUUACAGCACCAAUACAGGCACAGAGGUUGCAACAGAAACUACUGUUACGGAAACGUCAGUACCACAGAACAGGAAAAUCCUGAAACCCCACAAGAUUGGUAGUGAUAAAGCCAAGCACAAAGUGUUUUCUUUUGUGUAACACUAGAGACUAUAUCUUACCUGUUUAUAUCAUUAGAUAUCAUAUAUCUAUUUAUAUCAUUAGUAUCAAGAAAUUAGAGAAAAGCCAAUUAUGUGUAAGGUUGUACAUAAUAAAAGUGUUCUAAACUGUU
rnacentral:lncRNA from 1 species